CUCAAUCUUCCAGGAUUCAAAAGUCUUUCCCAGCCUAGUUUGUUAAAGCAUCACCAGGCCUCUUCAAGCAGUGAAUCAAAGAAAAGUUGGAGGAAGAGAGGAAAACUUAAGUGAAAGCCAUGAAGCAUUAAGACUGCAUGAGGGUUAUUUUGAGAUCAUCUGAUUUCCUACUAGGAGGUGCUAUGAGAGAUCAUCGCCUUGAAAACCUUCAAAGAGAAUGGUCUGAAAGGGGUUUUUUUGGUGGUGGCAUGUUCCAGAACUUGGAUCAGUUUUACAUUUUCAUUUAGCAUGAGAGAGUUUUUAAACUUGUGUGUCUGUAUAAAAAUAAACUUCCAUCACAGGACUUCA
rnacentral:lncRNA from 1 species